rnacentral:rRNA from 1 species
AACUCAAAUGAAUUGACGGGGGGCCCGCACCAGCGGUGGAGCAUGUGUUUAAUUUCGAUGCAACGCGAAGAACCUUACUUACUCUUGACAUCCAGAGAACUUAGCAGAGAUGCUUUGGUGCCUUCGGGAACUCUGAGACAGGUGCUGCAUGGCUGUCGUCAGCUCGUGUUGUGAAAUGUUGGGUUAAGUCCCGCAACGAGCGCAACCCUUAUUCUUUUGUUGCCAGCGGUCCGGCCGGGAACUCAAAGGAGACUGCCAGUGAUAAACUGGAGGAAGGUGGGGAUGACGUCAAGUCAUCAUGGCCCUUACGAGUAGGGCUACACACGUGCUACAAUGGCAUAUACAAAGAGAAGCGACCUCGCGAGAGCAAGCGGACCUCAUAAAGUAUGUCGUAGUCCGGAUUGGAGUCUGCAACUCGACUCCAUGAAGUCGGAAUCGCUAGUAAUCGUGGAUCAGAAUGCCACGGUGAAUACGUUCCCGGGCCUUGUACACACCGCCCGUCACACCAUGGGAGUGGGUUGCUAAAGAAGUAGGUAGCUUAUCCAGAG